GACGAACGCUGGCGGCGUGCUUAACACAUGCAAGUCGAACGAUGAAGGAGAGCUCGCUCUCCGGAUCAGUGGCGAACGGGUGAGUAACACGUGGGCAACCUGCCCCUCACUUCGGGAUAACUCCGGGAAACCGGGGCUAAUACCGGAUAUGACCUCCUUGGGCAUCCUUGGAGGUGGAAAGUUUUUCGGUGAGGGAUGGGCCCGCGGCCUAUCAGCUUGUUGGUGAGGUAGUGGCUCACCAAGGCGACGACGGGUAGCCGGCCUGAGAGGGCGACCGGCCACACUGGGACUGAGACACGGCCCAGACUCCUACGGGAGGCAGCAGUGGGGAAUAUUGCACAAUGGGCGCAAGCCUGAUGCAGCGACGCCGCGUGAGGGAUGAAGGUCUUCGGAUUGUAAACCUCUUUCAGUAGGGACGAAGCGAAAGUGACGGUACCUAAAGAAGAAGCACCGGCUAACUACGUGCCAGCCGCCGCAGUAA
rnacentral:rRNA from 1 species